GAUGAACGCUGGCGGCGUGCCUAAUACAUGCAAGUCGAGCGAACGGACGAGAAGCUUGCUUUUCUGAUGUUAGCGGCGGACGGGUGAGUAACACGUGGAUAACCUACCUAUAAGACUGGGAUAACUUCGGGAAACCGGAGCUAAUACCGGAUAAUAUUUUGAACCGCUUGGUUCAAAAGUGAAAGACGGUCUUGCUGUCACUUAUAGAUGGAUCCGCGCUGCAUUAGCUAGUUGGUAAGGUAACGGCUUACCAAGGCAACGAUGCAUAGCCGACCUGAGAGGGUGAUCGGCCACACGGGAACUGAGACACGGUCCAGACUCCUACGGGAGGCAGCAGUAGGGAAUCUUCCGCAAUGGGCGAAAGCCUGACGGAGCAACGCCGCGUGAGUGAUGAAGGUCUUCGGAUCGUAAAACUCUGUUAUUAGGGAAGAACAUAUGUGUAAGUAACUGUGCACAUCUUGACGGUACCUAAUCAGAAAGCCACGGCUAACUACGUG
rnacentral:rRNA from 1 species